GGACGACCCUACUCCAAACUCCUUCCAGACUUCAUCAAUAUUCGAGCUCCUUCAACGAUGAGGUCUCUACAGUAAUCAGACUCCAUCCAAGUUUCUACGGCGGUCGACCACCUUUAGGAUCUUCGACCAAGCUCCUGUGAGAGCAUUCUAUUACGAGCAAUCUACUCCGAGCUUCUACUACGAGCAAUUCCAACCGAGCUCCUGCGAGAGUCGAGCAUUCUACUAUGAGCGAUCUACUCCAAGUUCCUACUACGAGCAGUUCC
rnacentral:lncRNA from 1 species